UUGCCGGAGAAGCUCGGAUAUUGACGAAGUCUGAAAGAAGUUUGGAGUAGGGUCGUCCGUGGUCGGAAGAAGUCCGAAAGGGAUUCAGAGAAUAGUUGAUCACUGUAGAAGGUCGGCUGAUAGUGAGACCUAGAGAGCCUUUGGAGCGGCCUGGUAGAUGAAUGCAGAAGCUCAUUGUCGGAGAAGUCCAGACGGUCGAGGGGUUUCAGAGAAAUGCCACA
rnacentral:lncRNA from 1 species